rnacentral:rRNA from 1 species
CCCUUAGAUGUUCUGGGCCGCACGCGUGCUACACUGAGUAAUUCAAUGGGUAAGGGAACGCUAGAGCAUUACCUAAUCUUGAAAUUUGCUCGUGAUGAGGAUCGACGGUUGCAAUUUUCCGUCGUGAACGAGGAAUACCUUGUAGGCGCAUGUCAUCAUCAUGCGCCGAAUACGUCCCUGCCCUUUGUACACACCGCCCGUCGCUCCUACCGAUUGAGUGAUCCGGUGAGGCUCUGGGACCUGGACGGAAAGAGCGUUUCGCUUGUUCUGUUUGGGAAACUUGGUCGAACCUUAUCAUUUAGAGGAAGGAGAAGUCGUAACA